GCUAGCUACAGGCUUAACACAUGCAAGUCGAGGGGCAGCAUGGUCUUAGCUUGCUAAGGCCGAUGGCGACCGGCGCACGGGUGAGUAACACGUAUCCAACCUGCCGUCUACUCUUGGACAGCCUUCUGAAAGGAAGAUUAAUACAAGAUGGCAUCAUGAGUCCGCAUGUUCACAUGAUUAAAGGUAUUCCGGUAGACGAUGGGGAUGCGUUCCAUUAGAUAGUAGGCGGGGUAACGGCCCACCUAGUCUUCGAUGGAUAGGGGUUCUGAGAGGAAGGUCCCCCACAUUGGAACUGAGACACGGUCCAAACUCCUACGGGAGGCAGCAGUGAGGAAUAUUGGUCAAUGGGCGAGAGCCUGAACCAGCCAAGUAGCGUGAAGGAUGACUGCCCUAUGGGUUGUAAACUUCUUUUAUAAAGGAAUAAAGUCGGGUAUGGAUACCCGUUUGCAUGUACUUUAUGAAUAAGGAUCGGCUAACUCCGUGCCAGCAGCCGCGGUAAUACGGAGGAUCCGAGCGUUAUCCGGAUUUAUUGGGUUUAAAGGGAGCGUAGAUGGAUGUUUAAGUCAGUUGUGAAAGUUUGCGGCUCAACCGUAAAAUUGCAGUUGAUACUGGAUAUCUUGAGUGCAGUUGAGGCAGGCGGAAUUCGUGGUGUAGCGGUGAAAUGCUUAGAUAUCACGAAGAACUCCGAUUGCGAAGGCAGCCUGCUAAGCUGCAACUGACAUUGAGGCUCGAAAGUGUGGGUAUCAAACAGGAUUAGAUACCCUGGUAGUCCACACGGUAAACGAUGAAUACUCGCUGUUUGCGAUAUACAGCAAGCGGCCAAGCGAAAGCGUUAAGUAUUCCACCUGGGGAGUACGCCGGCAACGGUGAAACUCAAAGGAAUUGACGGGGGCCCGCACAAGCGGAGGAACAUGUGGUUUAAUUCGAUGAUACGCGAGGAACCUUACCCGGGCUUAAAUUGCAGAUGAAUUACGGUGAAAGCCGUAAGCCGCAAGGCAUCUGUGAAGGUGCUGCAUGGUUGUCGUCAGCUCGUGCCGUGAGGUGUCGGCUUAAGUGCCAUAACGAGCGCAACCCUUGUUGUCAGUUACUAACAGGUUCCGCUGAGGACUCUGACAAGACUGCCAUCGUAAGAUGUGAGGAAGGUGGGGAUGACGUCAAAUCAGCACGGCCCUUACGUCCGGGGCUACACACGUGUUACAAUGGGGGGUACAGAGGGCCGCUACCACGCGAGUGGAUGCCAAUCCCAAAAACCUCUCUCAGUUCGGACUGGAGUCUGCAACCCGACUCCACGAAGCUGGAUUCGCUAGUAAUCGCGCAUCAGCCACGGCGCGGUGAAUACGUUCCCGGGCCUUGUACACACCGCCC
rnacentral:rRNA from 1 species